CUGGGCUCAGUUGUGUUUGGAGAGAGCUGAGAACAAGCAAGUUUUGGUAGCUGGGGUGUUUGGUAUGAAGUAGUAGGGCAGUGUGGGAAUUUGGAUGAGGUCAUUAAUGCUUUGGAGGUGGGUGAGCUGAAGGUGGUGUCACCAAAACAUCUUGGUGACUGAGCUCAGGAAGCUUGUCAGGUGAUUUGGGGCUAGAGGCUUUAUCAUGGCAGAAAACCCAAAGCCUGUGCUUUCUGAGUGCACUCUGCAUGUUCAGAGCUGUCCUCAGAGGAAGGGAGUAAGGAAAGAAGAUACCUUGCUACCUGGUGCAGACUAAGUGGUACCAGGUCAGAGGUCCGUUUCUGGUUGGAUGAGGGUCUACCAGGAUAGUAUGGUGUUCUUCAGUGCAAGAAAAUUGCAUCUGGAUUAAGAACAACAGAUUUCCCUGAGCUGCUCCAGUCACGCAUAACAUUUUUUCAGAAUCCUUAGAUGACUGCUAAUUGGAUCAUUGUAAAUGAAAUAAAAUCCAGGUGCUUGUUUUGGGAAAGCAA
rnacentral:lncRNA from 1 species